UGAGUGCCAAUGAUGGUAUUAAAUAUACUAUGAGUAACAACUAUGAACACAAAUUAAUCUGAGGCACCAA
rnacentral:snoRNA from 1 species